UACGGGGGGGGCAAGCGUUGUUCGGAAUUACUGGGCGUAAAGGGUUCGUAGGUGGCCCGCUAAGUCAGACGUGAAAUCCCUCAGCUCAACUGGGGAACUGCGUCUGAGACUGGUGGGCUUGAGUGCAGGAGAGGAACGCGGAAUUCCAGGUGUAGCGGUGAAAUGCGUAGAUAUCUGGAGGAACACCGGUGGCGAAGGCGGCAUCCUGGACCACGACUGACGCUGAGUGAGCGAAAGCCAGGGGAGCAAACGGG
rnacentral:rRNA from 1 species